UACGUAGGGUGCGAGCGUUAAUCGGAAUUACUGGGCGUAAAGCGUGUGCAGGCGGUCAUAUAAGACAGAUGUGAAAUCCCCGGGCUUAACCUGGGAACUGCAUGAGUGACUGUAUGACUAGAGUGCGGUAGAGGGGGGUAGAAUUACGCGUGUAGCAGUGAAAUGCGUAGAGAUGCGUAGGAACACCGAUGGCGAAGGCAGCCCCCUGGACCAAAACUGACGCUGAAACACGAAAGCGUGGGGAGCAAACAGG
rnacentral:rRNA from 1 species